rnacentral:rRNA from 1 species
CGAGUGAAGCGGCAAAAGCUCAAAUUUGAAAUCCCCAGGGAAUUGUAAUUUGAAGGUGGUCUCAGCUAGUUCAAACAUUCUUAAGUCCAUUGGAAAAUGGCGCCAUGGAGGGUGAUAGCCCCGUAAAGAACCCGUUUGCUCUAUUUUCUUUGACCACCAAAGAGUCGAGUUGUUUGGGAAUGCAGCUCUAAGUGGGUGGUAAAUUCCAUCUAAAGCUAAAUAUUGGCGAGAGACCGAUAGCGAACAAGUACAGUGAUGGAAAGAUGAAAAGCACUUUGAAAAGAGAGUGAAAAAGUACGUGAAAUUGUUGAAAGGGAAGGGCUUGCAAGCAGACACAACCUUUUGGUUGGGCCAGCAUCGGGGCGAGGGGAAGGAAAAAAGAAAAGGAAAUGUAGCUCUCGAGUAUUAUAGACCUUUUCCACAACUUCCAUCUCAUCCCGAGGCCUGCGGAUUCAAGG